GCACUGUUGAAGAGUUCCACAAUAGGACAAAACAGCUGUCCAGUGC
rnacentral:hammerhead_ribozyme from 1 species